CUAUGACAACGAAUGGUUCGCAGACGUCUGGCAAACUGAAAUCCAGCGCCUUAAUGACCAAUCCAAAUCCACAGCCCUUUAUGAGCUCUACCCCAUUGUCGUGGCGUGCAUCCUGUGGGGAAAUAGUUGGGCUAGGAAAAAAAAUUACGGUGUUCUGUGAUAAUGCAGCAACGGUAGACAUCAUCAAUAAAGGCCGCUCAAAAACAUCGAUAAUAAAUUAUCUAAUGCGACGUUUAACCUGGGUGAGCGUCCUCAAUAAUUUCAUUUUGCGAGCUACUCAUAUUCCCGGGCACCAAAAUAGCAUAGCUGAUGCUCUUUCUCGUUUUAAAUUCCAGGAGUUCAAAGCUAUGUGUCCCCAGGCCAAACCCUCCAGCAUUCCAUGCCCUUCAUUCAAGCAGACGAUCAUCACUUGAACACGUCCAAGCCCCUACGGGUUCUGUUGCACUCUGCCUCUAAAUAUAUGAGACUUGGUUUGGCAAAAAGCACCAUUAAAACAUAUGACACAGCUUGGUUUUUCUACUCUUCCUUUUGCGCCAGCCUCCUCAUCAGUCCUCUACCAGCAAAAAUUCCGGUAGUUUGUGCUUUCAUCGUGAAUUCAUUCGAAUCCCGUAAUCUUAAAGUACAAAGUAUAAAAACUAUGCUAGCAGGCAUUCAGUUUCAUAUGCGAUGUCAAGAUCCAGCCUCCCAAAGUCUUCUCACGAAUCCGUCCAUCCAGCUGAUCCUCAAUGGUCUUAAAAAGGCACGUCCCCAAUGGCAACGACCAAAGACUACCUCUCACUAAUUCACUGGUGCACAAAUUGGUAUUAAGGUUAAGGCAGGGUUGUUUCUCACCAUAUAUCGAUUCAAUGCUGGAGGCCGUCCUGUUGAUGGCUUUUUUCGGGUUUCUGAGGUGUGGUGAAUACACGACCAGGACUCUUGCCUUUGAUCCUCAGCAUGACCUCACUCUCUCUGAUGUUACACUAGAAGAGCACAUGUACUCAUUAUAUUUAAAACACUCCAAAACUGAUAGAUUUAGCUUAGGCACUCUAAUUUACAUUGCAGAAAAUAAUACUUCCUUCUGCCCCUUCUCUUCCAUGACAACUUUUCUCCAUCAACGUUCCCAAACCCAUCGAUUGGCACCUCCCUUCUCCAUCGACGGACGCAAACCCAUGACGAGAUCCUGGUUCUCCACUAUGCUUCAUGAUCUCGUCCGGAGCUGCGGCCUACCACCCGAGCAUUAUUCGCCUCACUCUUUAAGAAUUGGGGCCGCGACAACGGCGGCUCUACAUCUGCCUGCCGCCACGCUUAAAUCUCUGGGUCGCUGGUCAUCCUCCGCAUAUCAACGCUACGUCAGAUUCCAUAAGGAGGACAUUCUGCAAGCUCAAAAGAUCAUGAGUUCCUGCCCCCUGGAGCAGACCAGAUGUGACAGCGGUAUGCACCGUUGUACUCCGAGGCCUCCCUGUUCUACUUGGUGAUGACCCCAGUGACUUCUACAACACCUGCUUCGAUUGUGACACUGAUGAGACCUGGGUAAAAGUAUCUGUCGGGGUGCUGACUGUUCUCCCUGAAGAUCUGCAACUCCUUCCAAAUCAGCUCCACCUUCACCCAAUAUCUACUGCCAUCAUCGUUGAGGGAGGUAUUGUAAUGGAUUAACUCCAGAACCUACCUGAGGCACUUUUGUUUGGAAUGUCAUACGCUUUGCAUUUAGACUACCCUAAAGCCAUGAAAAACGCUUUCUGCUUCAUU